GCCUGGAAAAGUUUGAACAAAGGCCUUGCACAACUGUUGCAUGUUAUUCCUGUUUAUGGUUGCAGUGAGUGCUUGGAAAUUCAUGCUGCCCAGAGUGGUCACCACAUUCAGAUCUGCCAUGGUACAACCAGCCAAAUGUACAAUUGAGGUCAUUGGUUCCUCAUGAUUUCCUUUGUUUCUCGUUUACAUUCUGAGUACUGGAUAUUAAGGUUUUUGAGGAUCUUAAAGUUGACUUGAAGACCGAGGCUAAGAAGACUGCGGGCACCACAGCUACUACAACCAUAACAAAAAGAAGGUCACAAUGGAUAGAAGAUUAAACAGUUGGAGGACCAGCUAAUCUUAUUUGAUCAACAAAAAGAGAAAAUAAAAAGCCUUGAACACCAACAAUUGGUCCUGUUAGAGAUGAUGAAGCAGCUAACUAUAGCCCUUGAACUAGAGAAAUCUGAUAAAGCUCCAACUCGACAGCACUUGCCUUCUCGAACUGAUGAAGACUCGUCCUCAUCAACUACAGCUAUUUCAAAUACCGGAACUGGUGACACUUGACGUGCUAACGGUAUUGAUGGUUAUUUUUGUGUUGUAUGGACAAUAGAUAUUUUGACAUGGGGGUAGAACCAUCUUUUUAGGAUUGUUUGCAUAUAUGUGUUAGAUGGUGUACAUGGGGUGGGCAUUUUUUUGUUAGUUAUGCACAGAUAGAUAGGUAGAAAAAGGAAAAUG